UUGUCACCUCCCAGCCUGCAACAUCCCUGUCUCACAGCAUCCUCUUCCCCAAAUCACCCAGACGCACCGAGGGUCUGCCCUCUCCUCAGAUUUGUUUUCCCUCUAUUCUCGUUUUCUGUUCAUUCCUAAAGGUCUCCAGAAUGGCUUACUCGAAACUUUGCUGACCUGCUCUGGACUCUAAUCUUUCGACAAUGGAGAGUAGGAUGGCCAAGGUGCUGGGAUACUGUUGAGUAGUGGGACCCAAUGGCCUGACUGGUGACAACCCUGCUCUGUGUGGCAUCGGGAAGGGGCAGGGGCUGUGGUGUCAGCUAAGCCAGGAUCGUCGUGGUGGUGCAAGCCAUCCACGUCUGCCAAAGUGCUCUGAGGGGAGGUGUAAGGUCUGCUCCUCUCAGAAUCAUCAUCACGCCUCAUUUUCCUGCAGUUUGCUGUGGCAAGAACAGAAGAGUCACAGAACUGCUCAUGAGCACUGAAAUAAAAUUUAGUGUAGCCACCUGUCGAAUGGAGUGGACCUUCUGAAGGCCAAGGGCGAUGCGUAUAGUACAUCUACGUUGCGGACAUUGUUAGGAUUCAGUGGGAUGGCAUGAUGUCCAGACCACCAGAA
rnacentral:lncRNA from 1 species